rnacentral:misc_RNA from 1 species
GAACGCACAUUGCGCCCCCUGGCAUUCCGGGGGGCAUGCCUGUUCGAGCGUCUCCGGGAAGAAGACUCACGCGGCGCAAAGCGUGGUGGUGGCGGCGGCGGCGAUCCCGAGAGGGCAGCCACCCCGGCGGAAUGGAUCGGCGGACGACUGCCGCGUCCCUGAGCGUGAUAUUUUGCUAUCGCCUCGAGCGCGGCGAGGCACCCAGCCCUGGCCAGUCGCCUCCCGCAUCGGAGAGUGUGAUAUUUUGCUAUCGCCUCCAGAGCGGCGAGGCUGCCAGCCCUGCCACCCGGGCAGGGCGGGGAGACCUGUGUCAUUGGAACUCCUCGAAUCAGGUAGGGAUACCCGCUGAACUUA